rnacentral:rRNA from 1 species
UACGUAGGUGGCAAGCGUUGCCCGGAUUUACUGGGCGUAAAGAGCGCGCAGGCGGUCAUUCAAGUCGAGUGUGAAAGCCCCCGGCUCAACUGGGGAGGGUCACUCGAUACUGUUUGACUCGAAGGCGGGAGAGGGAAGUGGAAUUCCCGGUGUAGUGGUGAAAUGCGUAGAUAUCGGGAGGAACACCAGUGGCGAAGGCGACUUCCUGGCCCGUUCUUGACGCUGAGGCGCGAAAGCUAGGGGAGCAAACGGG